AGCGAGUAAGACAGGCUCUUCAGUCUGAGUUCGCGGAAACGAGUGUGAAUCUGACAACGUAUGCAGGUUA
rfam:Tomato bushy stunt virus genomic RNA, statice isolate, complete genome